GAUCAGUUCCCUCUGGCCUCUAGAGUUUGGCUCAGCACCAGGGAACCUGUGUCCUCUCUGAGACCAAGGCACCAUUCCAAUGACAGGUUUCCUGAGGUGAAUGAAGUCAGAAGAGGCAUUCAGGAAACUAUGAAUACAUUCGGAUUAUCCAGGUGUUCCCACUGCAGCUGGAACACAAUCUUCCAUCCACAGCUCCAGUGGCUGAGUCAAAGUCUCAUCCCAUGUAAGAGGCUAUGAAAAUCCCACAACCCUGUUGGAAAAGCAGAAUGAUGGCCAAAUUGUCUCCUUUCUGCUGUGUAGAGGAGCCCACUAAAACUGGGGACCCCCUAGAAACUUCAGAUCUAUAGUACUUAGACCGGAGGAUCCCCCAGGGCCACAUCUUACAGGAAGAUCUGCAUCCCAUGGAAGCCCCUGGCCUGGCCUUCUGCAGUGCCACGCUCCGUGUAUUUGACAAGCUGAGUUGGACACUCCGUGUGCUAGAGUGUCAGUUUGUCAAAUACCCCAAGUGCGGUACAUGCCUAGCAGCUCCACACCAGCGCAGAUGGGAUCCAACAUAUAUACUACCAGCUGGAUAUAGGAAUGCUUGUCAAGCAACCAGUUCUCCUAACUUAUUUAUUUAUUCUUUUGUGACUUUAAGGGAGCAGAGUAUUGCUUCUGAGGGUUCCAGGGAAAAUGUGCAGCAUUUCUGGGAAUCACAGCUCUGGUCUGUGUCUACACACAUCAUGAGAAUUCCAAGGAGCACACAGUAGUCUUAAAAAAAAACACAAGGGAUACAGGGAUAGAAGUGCUCUUUGAUUUGCUAUUAUUUUCUUCCUUCACAUUCCCCUUCCAGAAUGUCACAGGCAGGACACCAGAAUCAAACAUUAUGGGUUAUGUGAUAAAGCAGGGCAUGUAAAUUUACUUUUUUUGAUGUUUAUUAUUGACUUCUAAACACAGACUGGCCUUGUCUACCUCUUUCAUUUUCCUCCUGCCUCUUCUUAGAACAAUUUCUCCAUUUCUGUUGGCCUAAUUCUUCCCCAUACUUCCUGGUCCCAACACAGUGUAGUCUCCCCAGGGACUUUUGAAAGUCAUCCCAUACUUAUCCUUCUUCAUUUACAAAGCAGUCCUUGCCUGAGUCUUGUUUUGUGCCCCCAUAUCUCCUUCCACCCAAUACAACCUUUUGGAUCAUGAGUGAACUUUUCCAGGGCUUUCUCUUCAAUUCCUCACUACAUUGUGAGCUUCUAGAAGACAAGAAUAUAUUUCCUUGAUUGUUGUCUCCCCUACCAUAGCUCUGUAUUUUUUGGUUACAGAAAAUAUUCAAUAAAGUUUGCAGAUUGAUUGACUUUCUACUUAGUCUAUUAGUGUUGGAUCUUUGUGCCAAAUAUCACCCAGAGUUCUGAGAAAAAAAUUCAAACUAUGGAGACCACAAUGUUAUAGGGUGUAUGAGGGAGUAGCCAAUACGGAGGGUUUUUUUCUUCCUGACACAUAAUGCCAAGGACUGGAGGAAUGGGGAAAACAAGAGGGCAAAUAAAUUGAAGAAUUACUUGUUUAUACAGAUAUGUGGUACUUUAUUGUAGGAUUUUUAAGAGUCUUUAAUAUUCGAAUGUUGCUUUGGG